GUUGAGAUAUAAUUGGGAUAAUUUUACCGAUAGAGAAAUGAAAAAGGUAUGAAAUGAAAAUUCAAGUGAGAGAUACAGGACAUCCAUUCAUUUGGCUAAGAAAGCAACAUUAUCAUCUGCACAAGAAUAUUUAGGAAGGAAACCAGACAUAUUAGAUAUGAUAGGUAGAGGACCUGAUUGGAUGGAAGCUAAUAUAUGGAAUGACUUGGUUAAAAUUCAUUGGAAUAAAUCAGAUCACAAGAUCAAAUGUGAAAUUGCACAGAAGAAUAAAAUGACAGCGAAGGAUGGGUCUACUAUCAAACAUACUGGGAGUUCAAUUUCUUUUGUAGCACACCGUGAGAGAAUGAAAAAAGAUUUGGGACGAGAUGUGGAUGAAUUUGAGGUUUUUGAACGAAUGCAUAAAAGAAAAUAAGG